UUACAAACUUGGACGCCGGGA
rnacentral:misc_RNA from 1 species